GUGAGGAAUCUUGCACAAUGGGCGAAAGCCUGAUGCAGCGACGCCGCGUGAGGGACGAAGGCCUUCGGGUUGUAAACCUCUGUCAGUAGGGAAGAAGAUUGACGGUACCUACUGAGGAAGCUUCGGCUAACUACGUGCCAGCAGCCGCGGUAAUACGUAGGAAGCAAGCGUUGCCCGGAAUUACUGGGCGUAAAGAGCUCGUAGGCGGGGGCGUGCGUCCGGGAAGAAAUCUCAAGGCUCAACCUUGGGGCUAUCUCGGAUACGGCGCUUCUUGAGGGUGAGAGAGGAAAGUAGAAUUCCCGGUGUAGCGGUGAAAUGCGUAGAUAUCGGGAGGAAUACCAGCGGCGAAGGCGACUUUCUGGCUCAUUCCUGACGCUGAGGAGCGAAAGCGUGGGUAGCGAACGGGAUUAGAAACCCCGGUAGUCC
rnacentral:rRNA from 1 species